GGAGGGAGCAAGCGUUGCUCGGAAUCACUGGGCGUAAAGGGCGUGUAGGCGGGACAGCAAGUCGGGUGUGAAAGCCCUGGGCUCAACCCAGGAAGGGCAUUCGAUACUACUGUUCUUGAGUAUGACAGAGGAAAGUGGAAUUCCCGGUGUAGCGGUGAAAUGCGUAGAUAUCGGGAAGAACACCUGUGGCGAAGGCGGCUUUCUGGGUCACAACUGACGCUGAGGCGCGAAAGCUAGGGGAGCGAACGGGGGAUUAGAUACCCCGGUAGUCCUAGCCCUAAACGAUGGGCACUAGGUGUGGGAGGGUUGACCCCCCUUCUGUGCCGUAGCUAACGCAUUAAGUGCCCCGCCUGGGGAGUACGGCCGCAAGGCUA
rnacentral:rRNA from 1 species